rnacentral:sRNA from 1 species
GGGAAUCNNNNNNCAUUGCGCGGCUUGCAACAAGCAGAUACCGCCGUUCGAGAUGGUUAUGAAGGCCAGGACGAACGUCUAUCACCUGGAUUGUUUCGCCUGCCAACAGUGCACUCAUCGACGGCGCUCCAGCCGAAAUCACGAUGACGAUGGACGUGAGCAAGUCGGAGCCGAGUAAAAAUGGCGC